rnacentral:rRNA from 1 species
GACGAACGCUGGCGGCGUGCUUAACGCAUGCAAGUCGAACGAUGAAGCCGGAGCUUGCUCUGGUGAAUUAGUGGCGAACGGGUGAGUAACACGUGAGUAACCUGCCCUUGACUCUGGGAUAACUGCGGGAAACUGUAGCUAAUACCGGAUACGACCCUCGGAGGCAUCUCCUGGGGGUGGAAAGAAUUUCGGUCAAGGAUGGACUCGCGGCCUAUCAGCUAGUUGGUGAGGUAAAGGCUCACCAAGGCGACGACGGGUAGCCGGCCUGAGAGGGUGACCGGCCACACUGGGACUGAGACAUGGCCCAGACUCCUACGGGAGGCAGCAGUGGGGAAUAUUGCACAAUGGGCGCAAGCCUGAUGCAGCAACGCCGCGUGAGGGAUGACGGCCUUCGGGUUGUAAACCUCUUUUAGUAGGGAAGAAGCGAAAGUGACGGUACCUGCAGAAAAAGCACCGGCUAACUACGUGCCAGCAGCCGCGGUAA